rnacentral:rRNA from 1 species
CCUACGGGGGGCAGCAGUGGGGAAUAUUGCACAAUGGGGGAAACCCUGAUGCAGCGACGCCGCGUGAGCGAUGAAGUAUCUCGGUAUGUUAAGCUCUAUUAGUAGGGAAGAAAAUGACGGUACCUGACUAAGAAGCCCCGGCUAACUACGUGCCAGCAGCCGCGGUAAUAUGGAGGGGGCAAGCGUUAUCCGGAUUUACUGGGGGUAAAGGGAGCGUAGGCGGUUCUACAAGGCAGAUGUGAAAGGCCGGGGCUCAACCCCGGGACUGCAUUUGAAACUGUAAGGCUAGAGUGUCGGAGAGGUAGGCGGAAUGCGUGGUGUAGCGGUGAAAUGCGUAGAUAUUAGGCGGAACACCGAUGGCGAAGGCGGCCUGCUGGACGAUGACUGACGUUGAGGCACGAAAGCGUGGGGAGCAAACAGGAUUAGAUACCCCAGUAGUC